GGGGAUCUAGCUCAGUGGUAGAGCACUUGCCUAGGAAGCGCAAGGCCCUGGGUUCGGUCCCCA
rnacentral:tRNA from 1 species